AACUGCUAUGCUCCAGGUACUGCGAUAAACACUGGACAAAUGUUGGAAAGCUAAAAAGGCAUAUUCCUCUUAUAAAGACAUUAUUUACUUGUAACAAACAAGUAAAUAAAUGUAUUAGUCAAUAUAGUUGCUCCUUGUCCUUAUAUGAAGUAGAUUCCAGACCUCACAAUUGUAUAUGCCUAUCCUUCUACUCCAACCCCUCAAAAAAAGAGGAAGAAUGAACAAGAGAAAAAGAAGGAAGGAAGAGAGGGAGAGAGGAAAGGAGGGAAGGAUGGUCCUGAAGAUCCCAGUUCGGUGCUGAAAAAAGCAUUUCUAUUAAACUUCUUCAAGACAGAAUGAGUGACCAUAGCUAAUAAUGUACCUUAAGCUUUUCUAGAAUCUUUGUAUUAAAAAAGUUGAUUGUUACUAAAUGUAUUUUAAUCUCGUAAAAUUUUAGGAAUUUAAAUGAAGAAUUUCACAAAGGGUAAGAAAAAUUUUAUAUUUAUAAAUUUGUCGUUAUGAUUCUCCCAUUGUGGAAAAAAAAAUCUCGGGACCCCAAUUCACUAUGCCAAAAGGAAAAAAGUAAGCUGAAUGCUGAGUCAUGCAAGAAACUGCUUGCUUUUUUUCCUAAGCUAAUAGCUACAGAUAAAAGGUCAGAUAUCUCCAUAGGUAGGUACUCUAUGUUCACCUUAUGUAAAGUGCCAAUUUAUUGAGCAUGAGAGGAAUACCUAAUUGACUAUUCCCCAACCUGCUCCUUUUCUCUUGCAAUAUAUGGAGUCAGUAAUGGGACCAUAUCCUCUCUCUUUCCCCUCUAGCCUGCUUUCCCCCUUUAAAUACUGAAGCCCUCAAAAUCAUCUUUCUAAAAAGGUAUGAACCAUAGACUGUUCCUGUGGAUUUGUGUUUUCUUCCGGGCAAAUCCUUAAGCUUGGCAAAAUAAAAUUCUGAAUUGAUUGA